rnacentral:snRNA from 1 species
GCACACCUUGGUAGCACAUAUACUACACUUGAGACGAUUCCGAGAAGAUGAGCAUGGCCCCUACACAAGAAUGACCAGUCCAUUGCACCAAAAGGUGGCAGGCUCAA